UUCUCGGACUAUUUUUAUACAAGGAAGAAUUUUUUUCAAUUACACAUAGAGCUUAAUUCAGCAACAAUUUGGGUUGACUGUAUUAAAACGUCGUCGUUGGAUUCAACUAUCAGCGCAUAACUUAUUAAUUUGUCAUCAUGGCUAUGUCAAUUGAAGGUAACCCUCGCAUGAGGUUUGAGGGUGGAGUUGAUCUGGUUCCGUACAAUAGUAGAUUAGGAAUAGCAGCUUUCUCCAAACCAACAACAGAAUCAGAAAAAACCUUAGAAGAUGAACUGGAUAGAGAAGCAGACGAUAAUCCCUCUUUCCAGAAAGCUUGGACUGCAGCCGGUAGGGAAAAGAGUCAACUGUCUAAACUUGUCCAUCAAUACAAAACAACACUGAAGAAGAGUGAGAUCAAGUUAAUCAUGGCAUAUACCUAUGAAGGGAAAGAAGAGGAUCCUAAAUUUUAUAGCGAAUUAAAUGAAGAUUUUCGAGACAGUGAUCUAACAGGAGGACGUUUUCCAAAUGCCAAAAGAAUUUUACGUAAUGCGUUGAUUAAAUUGGGGGAAUUUCAGAAAAAAGGGGAUAAAACGUUACGUGAUGUUCUUUACAGAUGGGAGCCUAGUUUCCUUGCGGAGAAAUACCGAAAGCAAGAAGAUAAGUCGAUGCACCUAAACAUGUUUACUUCAACCAGUUUGAGGAAGGAUUGUCCGCACAAAAAAGAGAACAACAUGCAAGUCGAAUUCAGAAAGCCAGAAACUGGGGCGUUCAUAAGGGAUUUUUCUUUUUACUCUUCUGAAGAUGAAGUAUUGUUGCCACCACUACAUGGGAAAAUUAAAGUCAUUAAAGCAUCCGAAGAUGGAUCUAAAUUGCAGGGACCAGUUUUGUAAUUCUGUUUUGGAAAACAUUAAUUUAUCAGAUGCUAUUCAACUAUAUCAAGAAUAAAGUUCUCUAUUGAUAACAAAGAUAUUGGUUUAAUAUUUAAAUUUCAUCCAAUUAUUUUAUGGAUUCCGUGCUCUUUAGUUUAGUGUAUUGCUUGCCUGUUGUUGCAUUUGAAUAAUCUGAUUAAAACACAGAAUCCAUUUCGUUUCGUUUUUGUAGUUCAAAAUUUUGUUCUACUUAUUUUCAUUUAACUUUGUGGACAUAAGCAUAUGGGAUCAAUCUUCUUUUUAAAAUGAAUCCAUCAUUAACUAAAACCAAUUUUUCACAAAGCUGUGAUGAUUGUUUAUUUUUAAUUAAUUACACAAUAACAUAACAAUAUAAAUUACAAUAUGUUAAGCAAAAAAACAACUUAAUAUUCCCCAUGCUCUGAUGUUUGUGCCCGAAAAACGGAACUACAUUGACUGAAAAACGGCUUUGGUUGUGGAGGCCAUUUGGAAUAUAAAACAACGAAACGAAAUAUAGAUUUAAUCAGAUUGUAAUUUGAACUGCAUGUAUUUCUGUAUUACUUGUAAUUUGAACAGCAUGUAUUUUUAUAUUACUUAUAAUUUAAACUGAGUGUAUUUCUGUAUUACUUGUAAUUUGAACUGAAUAUUUUUUUGUAUUACUUGUCUGUUAUUUAAUUUGAAUUAUCGCCAGUUCUUUGAGUGUUUGAUAUUUUAAUUUAACCUAUAGACACUGAUUUUAAAAAUAUAUAUUUUAAUUGCUUUUAAUAAACACAGUCACAUGUCAUGACGCCUUACUUUC